UACGUAGGGGGCAAGCGUUAUCCGGAAUGAUUGGGCGUAAAGCGUCCGCAGGUGGCUAUGUAAGUCUGCUGUUAAAGAGUCUAGCUCAACUAGAUAAGAGCAGUGGAAACUACAAGGCUAGAGUACGUUCGGGGCAGAGGGAAUUCCUGGUGUAGCGGUGAAAUGCGUAGAGAUCAGGAGGAACACCAGUGGCGAAGGCGCUCCGCUAGGCCGUAACUGACACUGAGGGACGAAAGCUAGGGGAGCGAAUGGG
rnacentral:rRNA from 1 species